rnacentral:rRNA from 1 species
UGGAGGCAUGGGAAGUGAGAAUGCUGGCUUGAGUAACGAAAGACGUGUGGGAAACACGUCCACCGUACACCCAAGGUUUCCUGAGUAAAGCUAAUCUUCUCAGGGUUAGUCGGGACCUAAGCCGAGGCCGAAAGGCGUAGGCGAUGGAUAACCGGUUGAUAUUCCGUACCACGUAGCCAUCGUUUGACCGAUGGGGGGACGGGGUAGGCUAGGGGAACCCAGGCGUUGGAGUUGACCUGGGGUAACCGUGUAGGCGGGUCGGUUGUGAAAUGCGCCGGCCAUUAACGCUGAGGCGGGAUGCCGAGAGCCCCGUGAGGGAGCUCGAAGUCCUUGAAGCCAUGCCUCCAAGAAAAGCCUCUAGGGAGAAGGCGCGUGCCCGUACCUAAACCGACACAGGUGGGUGGGUAGAGAAUACCAAGGUGAUCGAGAGAACCUUCGUUAAGGAACUCGGCAAAAUGGCCCCGUAACUUCGGGAUAAGGGGCGCCCCGUCAGGGUGAAGGCACUUGCUGCCGGAGCCCGAGGGGGCCGCAGUGACUAGGCCCAGGCGACUGUUUACCAAAAACACAGGUCUCUGCUAAGUCGUAAGACGAUGUAUAGGGGCUGACGCCUGCCCGGUGCUGGAAGGUCACGAGGAGAGGUUAGCCGCAAGGCGAAGCUUUGAAUCCAAGCCCCAGUAAACGGCGGCGGUAACUAUAACCGUCCUAAGGUAGCGAAAUUCCUUGUCGGGUAAGUUCCGACCUGCACGAAUGGCGUAACGACUUGGGCGCUGUCUCAACGAAGGACUCGGUGAAAUAGUAGUCUCGGUGAAGAUGCCGAGUACCCGCAGAAAGACGGAAAGACCCCGUGAACCUUUACUGCAGCUUGAUAUUGAAGUUUGGGGCGUUCUGUCCAGGAUAGGUGGGAGGCUUUGAAGCGAGGACGCCAGUCCCCGUGGAGCCAUCCUUGGGAUACCACCCUGGACGUUCUGAGCUUCUAACCCCGCGCCGUAAUCCGGGCGGGGGACCGUGUCAGGUGGGCAGUUUGACUGGGGCGGUCGCCUCCUAAAAUGUAACGGAGGCGCCCAAAGGUUCCCUCAGCACGGUUGGAAAUCGUGCGUAGAGUGCAAAGGCAUAAGGGAGCUUGACUGUGAGACUGACAAGUCGAGCAGGUACGAAAGUAGGGCUUAGUGAUCCGGCGGUUGAGAGUGGAAUUGCCGUCGCUCAACGGAUAAAAGGUACUCCGGGGAUAACAGGCUUAUAGUCUCCAAGAGUCCACAUCGACGAGACUGUUUGGCACCUCGAUGUCGGCUCAGCGCAUCCUGGGGCCGAAGUAGGUCCCAAGGGUUGGGCUGUCCGCCCAUUAAAGCGCUACGCGAGCUGGGUUCAGAACGUCGUGAGACAGUUCGGUCCCUAUCUUCUGUGGGCGUUGGAGGAUUGAGAGGAGUGGCCCCUAGUACGAGAGGACCGGGGUGAACGAACCUCUGGUGUAUCAGUUGUCGCGCCAGCGGCACUGCUGACUAGCUACGUUCGGAUUGGAUAACCGCUGAAAGCAUCUAAGCGGGAAGCCAACCUCAAGAUGAGUCCUCCCAUCGCUUCGAGCGAGUAAGGAUCCUGGUAGACCACCAGGUUGAUAGGACGGCUGUGGAAGCGCAGCAAUGCGUGCAGCAGACCGUUACUAAUAAUCCGAGGUCUUGAUU